rnacentral:hammerhead_ribozyme from 1 species
GCACUCCUGACGAGUCCCAAACAGGACGAAAUAGCUGUCCCGGUGC